AGGAUUAACGCUGGCGGCGUGCAUGAAACAUGCAAGUCGAGCGCGGCGCGUGGCUUCGGUCACGCGUCUAGCGGCGCACGGGUGAGUAACACGUGAGCAACCUACCUUCGAGUUCGGGAUAGCCCUGGGAAACCAGGAUUAAUACCGGAUGUGGUCACAACGGGACAUCCCGAUGUGAAAAAAGGCGCAAGCCGCUCGAUGACGGGCUCGCGGCUUAUUAGCUUGUUGGUGGGGUAACGGCCUACCAAGGCGACGAUGGGUAGCUGGUCUGAGAGGACGAUCAGCCACACUGGGACUGAGACACGGCCCAGACUCCUACGGGAGGCAGCAGUUAGGAAUUUUCCGCAAUGGGCGAAAGCCUGACGGAGCAACGCCGCGUGUGUGAUGAAGGCCUUCGGGUUGUAAAGCACUGUCGGAGGGAAGAUGAUGACGUACCUCAAGAAGCCCGGCUAACUACGCGCCAGCAGCCGCGGU
rnacentral:rRNA from 1 species